CUCGGGGACGUCGCUGUAGCAGACCAACAC
rnacentral:antisense_RNA from 1 species